GUAGUCUGCAACCCGACUACAUGAAGCUGGAAUCGCUAGUAAUCGCGGAUCAGAAUGCUGCGGUGAAUGCGUUCCCGGGUCUUGUACACACCGCCCGUCACACCACGGAAGUUGGGGCGCCCGAAGCCACUUAGCUAACCCUUUUGGGAAGCGAGUGUCGAAGGUGAAAUCAAUAACUGGGGUGAAGUCGUAACAAGGUAUC
rnacentral:rRNA from 1 species